CAGCUCGUGAAAACCCCAAAUCCACAAUCUCAGUAAAUUAGAAUAUUGUGAAAAGGUGCAAUAUUCUAGGCUCACAGUGUCCCAUUCUAAUCAGCUAAGUAAGCCAUAAAACUUGCAAAGGGUUUCUGAGCCUUUAAAUAGUCUCACAGUCUGGUUCAGUAGGAAUCACAAUCAUGGGGAAGACUGCUGACCUGACAGUUGUGCAGAAAACCUUAAUUGACACCCUCCAUAAGGAGGGAAAGCCUCAAAAGGUAAUUGCGAAGGAAGUUGGAUGUUCCCAAAGUGCUGUAUCAAAGCACAUUAAUAGAAAGUUAUGUGGAAGGGAAAAGUGUGGAAGAAAAAGGUGCACAAGCAGCAGGGAUGACUGCAGCCUGGAGAGGAUUGUCAGGAAAAGGCCAUUCAAAAGUGUUGAGGACUUUCACAAGGAGAGGACUGAGGCUGGAGUCAGUGCAUCAAGAGCCACCACACACACACGGAUCCUGGACAUGGGCUUCAGCUGUCGUAUUCCUCUUGUCAAGCCGCUCCUGAACAACAAACAACAUCAGAAGCGUCUUACCUGGGCUAAAGAAAAACAGACCUGGUCUGUUGCUCAGUGGUCCAAAGUCCUCUUUUCUGAUGAGAGCAACUUUUGCAUCUCAUUUGGAAACCAAGGACCCAGAGUCUGGAGGAAGAAUGGAGAGGCACACACUGUCCAGUGUGAAGUUUCCACAGUCUGUGUUGAUUUGGGGAGCCAUGUCAUCUGCUGGUGUUGGUCCACUGUGCUUCAUUAACUCCAGGGUCAACACAGCCAUCUACCAGGAGAUUUUGGAGCACUUCAUGCUUCCUUCCGCAGACGAGCUUUAUGGGGAUGCUGACUUCAUUUUCCAGCAGGACUUGGCACCUGCCCACACUGCCAAAAGCACCAAAGCCUGGUUCAAUGACCGUGGGAUUACUGUGCUUGAUUGGCCAGCAAACUCGCCUGACCUAAACCCCAUAGAGAAUCUAUGGGGCAUUGCCAAGAGAAAGAUGAGAGACAUGAGACGAAACAAUGCAGAAGAGAUGAAGGCCACUAUUGAAGUAUCCUGGUCUUCCAUAACACCUCAGCAGUGCCACAGGCUGAUAGCUUCCAUGCCACGCCCCAUUGAGGCAGUAAUUGCUGCAAAAGGGGCCCAAACCAAGUACUGAGUCCAUUUGCAUGCUUAUACUUUUCAGAGGUCUGAUAUUGUUCUAUGUACACUCCUUGUUUUAUUGACUGCAUGUAAUAUUCUAAUUUACUGAGAUUGUGGAUUUUGGGUUUUCAUGAGCUAUAAGCCAUAA